UUUGUUGCUUUCCCUAACAGUAUCAGAGUAUUGUGACUCCUGAACAUUCAACAAAAAUACACAAAAUCUUAAAAUUGCCUCGCACAGCUCUAGAGAAACCAGCAGGGAGAGGCUCUGUCACCAUUCCAAGUGCAUUGUUUGAGCUGCUGCUGAGGGAUAGUACUUUCCCAUGCUGUUUAGGGAUCUGUGUGAAACUACUGUGAUGGCUGCAGGCCAUGUCCUGGCCAGCUGGUGAGCACAGGAGCUGCUGCCAGCUCCAGGUACUUGUAGAGUAACCUGAGCUUUAGGUGGCUUCUCUUAAGGUAGAGCUCAGGGACAGGCAUAGGCAGUGCGUACUUACCUGCCUUCUAUCCUCCUCAGAGUGCCAGUACCUCUCCCAAAGGGGGCCAGAGAAAACAGGCUCAAACCCCUCCUGUGUGUAUAACAAAAGAUGAGGCAAAGACAGCCUGGAUGCCAAUGCUGCAGGGACAUCCAGUCAGACCUGUGGAAUGAGAAGAAAUGCAUCAGGGAAAACUGAGCCUUUUCCCAAGAGAUACUGGGGAUCUGACUGUUCUGAACAGUUUGGAGAUGUUAAAGAGAGGAGCUGGGGAGUUAAACUGCUCUCAGACACUAUCCACAAAGCUACAGCCAGCAGCAGCUUUCUCUGGUCACCAAGCUGCUGCAUCCUGAUAAUACACUUCCUCUCUUACAUCCCAAAGGACUUUUACUCACAGAAAUACCUGCUGAAAGUCUGAAGUGCUGAAGACGAUUUAAUAGUUCAACCUUCAUAAACACCCCCCCUCCAUACAGAGCAAAAAAUUUGGGUGGGGAGAGAAUGGGGUUACCACAUCAUUGUCCCCAUCACAGAAAAGCACAGGAGCAGUCCUGUUUCAUGGACCUGGUUUCAUGCAAGGGUUAAAAUACUUCAUGGACUUUUGAAGAGAAAGACAAAGAAGGAAUUUUAUAAUCAUUAACCAUUUGAUUAUUGUCACUUUAUGGAUUUAGGUCUCACAUUAAACAUGAAAGAUUAAAGCAAAGAACUGGAAUGUCAGACACUGUCAGUAUCUCUACCUGUGCCCCACAAUAAGAUGAGAAACAUUCUGACAGUUGUUGAUCAACUGGCAGUUAACAACACUUUCCAUGAUUUUCAUCCUCACAAAGAGACAUUGUUUUAUUGCAUAUUAAUACCUUUUCUGAAUUGAUGUAAAUAAAGGCUCACAGCAAUACAGUUGAUUGUCCAGGAAGCACAGAGCUAGAUGGGGGAAAUUCCCUUCUGUAAUUUCCAAAGGUUUAGGACUCCUUUGAUAAAGUAAAAGGCAUGAGAAGGCAGCAGCUAAAAGGAACAUGGCUAAAUACGGGGAUUUAAUCAUUGCAUAAUCUCUGAUGAGUAAAUGCAUAUUAAGUCCCAAGCACAAAAGUUCCAGAGGUAACUUGCUCAAUAUCUCUGGAGCUUUAGAGGCUGUGAUGCAAUCCAGUGAUUUCAGGCAGCUCAGUGCUUGCAUGACUGGCAAAAUUUGUUAUCUGAGGAAGAAGCCAAUUUUCACUAAUUAUAGGUUGCACUGCCUAAGUUACAGAUCUAGAAAUACCAUUGAAUGACUUUACUUUGAUGCCAUUAUGGAUGUGUGCCUGUUGGGUGAAAUGAACUUCCCACCUAUCGAAAGUGCAGGUUAUGAGGAGACCUGGUGCACCUGCCAGGAGCAUCCUGGAAGCCAUCCCAGAACUGCUGAUUGCUUCCUGCUCCCUACAUACAGCAGCUAAAUAUCUAGAGUUCUGGGGUCAGAUUUCUCUCUGCAAAGUUAACUGUACUCUGUCUACAGUCUCUUGGGCUAGCCAACCACCUUUUCACAGAAAUGGACCUCUCAAACGUGAUGGCAAAGCCUAUAACUGGGAAGAAGAAUGAAAAAAUGGUCUUCAAUGGAUUUGUGUGCCAGGGUUUUGGUAGUGGGUAGGCACCAGUGGUGGAUGCUCUGCGAGAAUCUUCUCCCAUGUCUGGCAGAGCCAAUGCCAGCUGGCUCCAAGGAAGGACUCAGAGGACAAGGCUGAGCCCAUCACUGGCAGUGGUAUCAUCUCUGGGACCACGUAUUUAGGAAGGGGUGGAAAAAUCCUGUGCAACUGCAGCCAGAGAGAAGAAUGAGUAUAUGGAGGAUGGAUAUAUAAAACCACUCUGCAGACCCCAAGGUUGGUGCUCAAGGUGCCAGAGCAGAGAUUCCCCUUCAGGCCAAAGUGCAGCCUGUGGUGAGGCCCUGCAGCCCAUGCAGGAGCAGAGAUCCACCUGCAGCUCCUGGAGUGCCCCAUGUCAGAGCAGGUAGAUGCCCAAGGGGGGCUGUGACAGCACAGCAGGACCCAUGGCCCCAUGGAGAGAGGAGCCCAUGCUGGAGGAGGGAGACAGUGUGAGGAGUCCUCUCCUUGAGGAGGAAGGAGCAGCA